rnacentral:rRNA from 1 species
GACGAACGCUGGCGGCGCGCCUAACACAUGCAAGUCGAACGAGCGAGAGAGAGCUUGCUUUCUCGAGCGAGUGGCGAACGGGUGAGUAACGCGUGAGGAACCUGCCUCAAAGAGGGGGACAACAGUUGGAAACGACUGCUAAUAACGCAUAAGCCCACAGGUCGGCAUCGACCAGAGGGAAAAGGAGCAAUCCGCUUUGAGAUGGCCUCGCGUCCGAUUAGCUAGUUGGUGAGGUAACGGCCCACCAAGGCGACGAUCGGUAGCCGGACUGAGAGGUUGAACGGCCACAUUGGGACUGAGACACGGCCCAGACUCCUACGGGAGGCAGCAGUGGGGAAUAUUGCACAAUGGGGGAAACCCUGAUGCAGCGACGCCGCGUGGAGGAAGAAGGUCUUCGGAUUGUAAACUCCUGUUGUUGAGGAAGAUAAUGACGGUACUCAACAAGGAAGUGACGGCUAACUACGUGCCAGCAGCCGCGGUAAAACGUAGGUCACAAGCGUUGUCCGGAAUUACUGGGUGUAAAGGGAGCGCAGGCGGGAAGACAAGUUGGAAGUGAAAUCUAUGGGCUCAACCCAUAAACUGCUUUCAAAACUGUUUUUCUUGAGUAGUGCAGAGGUAGGCGGAAUUCCCGGUGUAGCGGUGGAAUGCGUAGAUAUCGGGAGGAACACCAGUGGCGAAGGCGGCCUACUGGGCACCAACUGACGCUGAGGCUCGAAAGUGUGGGUAGCAAACAGG